rnacentral:rRNA from 1 species
UACGGGGGGGGCAAGCGUUGUUCGGAAUUACUGGGCGUAAAGGGCUCGUAGGCGGCCCACUAAGUCAGACGUGAAAUCCCUCGGCUUAACCGGGGAACUGCGUCUGAUACUGGAGGGCUUGAGUUUGGGAGAGGGAUGCGGAAUUCCAGGUGUAGCGGUGAAAUUCGUAGAUAUUCGCAAGAACACCAGUGGCGAAGGCGGCUCACUGGCCCGAUACUGACGCUGAGGCACGAAAGCUAGGGGAGCAAACAGG